rnacentral:tRNA from 1 species
GCCUGAGUAGCUCAGCUGGUAGAGCAUCAGACUUUUAAUCUGAGGGUCCAGGGUUCAAGUCCCUGUUCAGGCG